CAGGUUAGCUAGGGUUGUGAGAAAGCACCGUCCACCUGACUCCUUGUCAAGGCCUCUCCUGGAAAGAGGCCCGUCUGCCGCUGCCUUGCUCUGAGAGCUGACGAGUCUCCAGCAGCCCCCUCACUGGGCUCCCACUGCUGGAGAGCCCCCUCCCCCAAGGCUGGGGCCGCCCUGCAGCAGGCAGGAGGGAGCCGGCCUCUCUCUGCCCCUGGCAGCACGAGAGGAACCUGGGAGCCCUUUGGCAGGACCUCGAGGGGGAAGGGACAAGACUGGUAGGACGGGCCAGCAGAACACUCGUUGGUCUGGAAAUGAGAACACCUGAGUCUGUGCAACGCUGAAUCUGCCAGUAACUUGCUAGUUUUUAACAUAUCGAAGCAACCAUGGAUACGUCAUGAAGCAGAAGGAGGACGUGGUGUACAGACGGAAGCUAAAACUUGAGGCUGAAGACCCUUCAAGACAAUGGACAUCUGGCCUGGGUUCUCCAAAGGAUCUAGGACCAUGAGGAACAAAGUAGGGGAGACAUCACAGCCCGAUGCCAUACGCCAUGUUUGAUUGGAUUCUGGACUGGGAAAAAAUAGAAGCCACAAAGAACAUUUGGGAGGCCACCAGGGAAACGUGAUGUUAGGUGUUAGGUGUUCGUGUUGUUCGUGUUAGGUGAUGUUGCCCAGUUAAUGCUGGUUAUCUCCGAUGUGGAGCUGGUGUGGGACUGUGGAGGGGAAUGUCCUGCUCUGGGGACACACACCCUGUGGUGUUCCGGGAUGGGCUAUCAUGAAUGCCCGCCUUCCUUUUGGAUGGUUGGCAAAAGUGAAGUGCGUGCGUGUGUGCGUGUGUGCGUGUGUGUGUGUGUGUGUGUGUGUGGAGAGGGAGAGGGAGGCGGACAUCCAGAGCCAGCCGGCCACGCACACACACAGAGGUGGAGAGGCCGUGGCGAGAUGUUCACAGUCGGUCAUCUCAACCAUUCAAUGGGUUUAGACACGUCUCCAGAUAAGAACGUGGGAAUCCUUGGAAAAGAACAAAACAGGCACCGAAAAGCCAUAAGUCCUGACUGAAAUCUCUCGUAGAGAACUACAGACAAGACUUAAGACUUCUCUCCUGUGACAGAUACGUGUCUUAAAUAUCCUCUCCACCCAUCUUCUCUGCAGAGUCUCACUUAUUAUGGAAACGUUUUCCUAUAAAAUACCCCCUGCCUCUCUUUUCGCAUCCUUCUUUUUGAAGGUUAGAUGCCUGCGUGUGAUGUUUCACUCUGGUAUCUACAUACUUGGCCAAGUUGCUUAAAAAAAAAAUCCU